AAACUCAGCUGGGGAGAGAAAGCUGCCAUGGCAUACACACAUUAUCCUCACUUCCUCGCCCUUACCGUACUUGUACAGAAUGCCUUCUACUCGCCUCCCAUUCGGACCAUCUCCUAUCGUGAAGACACACGGCAUGUCUUCCACCGCAUUUGUCCCAAUUUCCUUCCGUCUAUUUUCGGCAGAAUCAUGCUUCUUGGAUGGAUUCUCCAUCUCUUGUGUGGAAGUUCUGCAUAUGUUUUCACUCAUCUUUUUCCCUGAAGAACCAACAGCUUCUUGAUUGCUUCUAUCUUGCAAGGAUUGAUUACUCAUGGGACUUCUUGCUUCACCACCACUGCUUGAUCCUGUGAUGCAUAUGAGAUAUAUGAGAAGGUAAAUGUCAGUUAUUUUUUUCCAUGUUUUUCGUUCACUUGCAAUAGAUCUAAAUAAAUAGAGUGCACUGGCAUCCAAGAUGCAAUAGGUUCACAGCAGAUACUGUCAACUAUCAAUGCCACCCAUUUAUUCAAUUUAAAAAUCUUCAAGAAGACACAAAAACAAUGGAAAAAAUGUAGAUGAUAAAAAGAAAGCAAGUGAAGAAUUCAAGAAAGCUAUACUUAAAAAGAAAGGACACUCAGCAACAUCAGUAGAGUCCAAAAUAAGCCAUUUCAGUAAGUUGCAGAACAAUUCUCCAUUUCGCUGAAGUGUUGUCAUUCUUUCAAGUCAAACCUAGUGAUAUAGAACUACGAAGAACACUCAUAUGGGAUGAGAAACAAUUCUCAAUUUUGUAUUUGUUCUUAAAAUCAAUUCUCAAGUUAUCAAUAAUAAAAGUCUCUAAUAAAUCAAUCUAACUAGGACUAUAAAACCAACAUUAACUAGGAAAAUACAAAACCUAAUAGAACUCUUCAAAUAUUUCGAAAUAACAGAAACCUAAACUUCUCAAUUUUACAAUGAAAAAUUAAAUUAGCAUUUCCUAUACUGAGUCUUCCUAGAAUGCAUCACAUUCUACCUUUAUUGGAGAAUACUUGACCUCAACUUUUGUAGCGCUAAAGAAUCAUGAACUGAAUUGUGAGAACAAACAAAUCUAUCUUUUUCGAUGGUAGCAAUAAGACUGAAACAGAAAAACUACAUUCUUUCCUUAACAUCCAUGAAAACAUCUUAACAUAUAAAAUUAGUUACAACUAUAGUUGAAAGGCUCUUCAAUGCACCAGGAACAAAAGAAUUAAUCAAAUCUUUAAUUUCCAUCGUCAUCUCCAUGGCUUGAUUUUCCUCUUUCCCUAUGAUAGAUUCCUCAAGCUUUUCUUACUCGUUCUUUUUUUUUUCUUUUACUCGUUCUUAGCAGCUUCUUUAUCUACAAUAGGCUGCUCAAAAUUUUUCAACUCAAUCUUAUCAUCUUGGAUUUCAACAUGUGCAGGUUCAGAAUUCAGAACUUUGGAUUCUUCAAGUUGCUCUUCAAGCUCUUCACUAUCAAAUUCUCGCUUUGCAUUCUAUUGACGUGUAAUUCUUCAAAACCUCCCUCCCGAUUUCCCAAUAUUUAUGGCCUACAUGAGUAGGUUUGCCCAAGUACACCUUGGCAAUUAAUAGCAUCAUUGAAACCAAUUAAGAAAGUAGACUACAAAAUCUCUGCUUCAUCUUGGAAUUUUUUGCACUUUUUAUCUGUUUCCCGCAAAGUUGUUGCAAGCAUGACAAGAGGCAUUAUUUUCUCAUUAUAACACAAAUUUGCAGUGUCUAUGCAAUUGUGGCCUAGUCUAGGGAAAAAAAAAGAUUUUAUAGUGAUGCACUUAAAAAAGGGUGCAUCUUUUAUAAAUGCAAUGACAGCAAAAAUCAUGGCAGACAUCAAGAGGAAAAUCUAGUACCACAAAAUGAGCCACCCUUUCCAGCAAACAAUACAUGUAAUCCACAAUGAGAACCAUGGUCCACGCACUUACAUUGAACAAAAUGCCCAACCCAGUUGGUCAGUCAAGUUGGUCAAACAUCAAAGCCCAUAGGCUUACACUGAUUGAAACAAAUGAAAUCCACCAAAACUUAAAACCAAACUAUUCCACAACACAAAGCAAGCAAAUUUAAUGUUAAGUUACAGCCAUUUAAUUCCCACCAAUGGCAACGAAACAAUCGUUAUUAGAAUCUUCAACUAAUAUGACAUCUCAUUACCCCAAAUAAUUCCUUGCUUUAAACAAACAUUAUACGCCAUCUUCUUUGAAACCCAAAAUCCAGUAUUUUCUUCAAAGUUUCUGAAAGCAAACUAUACUCCACUCAACAGAACCUAACACAAGUACUUAAAUUAGUUGAGUAACAGUUGCAUUUAUUGAAAAUAAACAAACAUCAAAAUUUAGCACAUUUUCACAACUCUCUCUAAGCAAACCAAAAUUUUAGCAGGUGACAUUUACAAAAGUAUUCUAAAGAACAGAAAUGUUAACAACUUAUGAAAGGGGAACAAUUUCUCAACCAGCACACAGACCUAAUAAAUGAUUAAUUUAGCAUAACAUAAAAAUCUACUGUUCAACAUAACUAAACAUCAAAAUGAUAUCCAAAACUCUCCUCAAAAAUAAAAUAAGUGAAGCAAAACAGUUAACCAAAAUACCAGAGAAAAUAGAGGGAGGAGAAGGGGGGAGGGGGUGAAGGUUAAAAAUAGAAAAAAAAUUAAAUAUUACCUUGAACAGGCUUGCUCUCCAUUUCCGACAUCCCAGAAGAGCUUCCUCCUUGAGACUCCACAGACCCUUGUGAACCCUGAUGCUGCCCCACCAAUCCCUGCAAAGUAUUACCCCUAUUCAGUUUCAUUGCCCCGAUAUUACCCAGCCUCGUCCAUGCGGCUGUCCAAUUUCCUCUAUUUGCAUUCAGUCCCCUUCUCUCCUCCUCCAAAUUCAAGUCUCCUCUCAAAUUGGCAUUCAAGUUCUUUUGCUUUUCGCUUCUUCUUCUCUUGGCUUCCAUUCUCCUCAAACUCUGCAUUUCCUUUCUCUUCCUCCACUCCUCCUCUGUCUCUGUAGGCAAAGAAGAUGUCCUCAUAAGGACAGGAUACGACAUAGGAGAUGUAUUAAAUGCAUCGUCCUCUCUCACUAGUGGUAUUGAGCCGGCUAUCGAAGAUGACCGUGUUAGUUUCUUGGAGGUCUUGUCAACCCCAAAUCUGCCUCCAAGUGACAGCCCCAGAUUCAGCUCAAUCUCCUCCGUAUCUUCUCCUUCAGUUGGUGACGUUUUGUAUUGCUUCUGCGAGUCACUCGACAUAAAUAUCUGCAACAGAUCUCUUGGGUAUCUGUUUAUUUCCAAAGACAGGCUCUCCAUUGCUUUGCUACUGCUACUGCUGCUGCUUCUAUUUCUGCUUUUGUUUUCAUUUUCUUCUCCCAUGUUUGUUUUUGGUUUCUCGAAAACAAAAACAGGGAAGAGAAUACAGAGACGAGAGUUUGAGUGGACUAGACAGUAUUUUUUGGGCAAUGAAACGGAGCAUGGAAAAGAAAAGCAAAUUUUUGAUCUGACUUAGAAAAAACCAUGCCUAAAAAAACUUGAUUUAUAUUAUCUUCGUUAAUGAAUAUGCACCAAAAGGCGUCACAAUUAAAACCCAAAGCCGCAACCCACAAGCCCAAAACAGAAAGGUUUCUGUUUUCCUAUUCAAUCAGGGGAAAAAAAAAACCCGUAGACUUUUUUAUUGAAUUUGUGAAAAGCAUGAACUCAUGAAAAAACGAAAUUUCUUCAAAAAAAAAAAAAGAAAAUCAAGAAACCCAGAAAGAAGUGAAUAGUGGAUUAACAAUAGAGACAGAAACAAGCAGAAACAGAGGAAUACAACGCAAACGGAAGCUGAAGGUAGAGGGAGAAGAGAAGAGAGGAGAGAAUGGGUUCG
rnacentral:misc_RNA from 1 species